GAACGUCAUCCCCACCUUCCAUCUUGCCGUCAAGUUCUUUACCGAUCUGGAGGUCGACACAGUCAGGGGAGAGCAGACUGUAGCCAUAGAAUGCUAUGUUGCCUCACUUAAAGAAGUUAAGCUUAAGGAAACCAUGAUCAUUGAAGGACUUGACGUCAGGGACAAAGAUGAGCUGGUCAGGGGGGAACCAGUGGAAGAGCUUAUCGAGGUCUCCAUCAACCCCACCAACCCGGCAAAAACUGCCAAGAUUGGCAGCCAACUGUUCCUCCAGGCAAAGACCGACCUCACCGCCCUCCUGAUUAAGCACAACGACGUGUUUGCCUGGACUCACUCCGAUAUGCCGGGUAUCUAAUCCGGUU
rnacentral:misc_RNA from 1 species